AGAUUGAACGCUAGCGGGAUGCUUUACACAUGCAAGUCGAACGGCAGCGCGGACUUCGGUCUGGCGGCGAGUGGCGAACGGGUGAGUAAUAUAUCGGAACGUGCCCAGUAGCGGGGGAUAACUACGCGAAAGCGUGGCUAAUACCGCAUACGCCCUACGGGGGAAAGGGGGGGAGUCGCAAGACCUCUCACUAUUGGAGCGGCCGAUAUCAGAUUAGCUAGUUGGUGAGGUAAAGGCUCACCAAGGCGACGAUCUGUAGCUGGUUUGGAGGACGACCACGCACACUGGACGU
rnacentral:rRNA from 1 species